GAGCAGUCAGGGUAGCGGUUAAGCCCUCUGAUGAGCCCCUUCGCAAGGGCGAAACUGCAA
rnacentral:hammerhead_ribozyme from 1 species